CCUACGGGUUGCACCAGUGGGGAAUACUGCACAAUGGGGGAAACCCUGAUGCAGCCAUGCCGCGUGUGUGAAGAAGGCCUUCGGGUUGUAAAGUACUUUCAGCGGGGAGGAAGGGAGUAAAGUUAAUACCUUUGCUCAUUGACGUUACCCGCAGAAGAAGCACCGGCUAACUCCGUGCCAGCAGCCGCGGUAAUACGGAGGGUGCGAGCGUUAAUCGGAAUUACUGGGCGUAAAGCGCAUGCAGGCGGCCUGUUAAGUCAGAUGUGAAAGCCCGGGGCUUAACCUCGGAAUUGCAUUUGAAACUGGCAGGCUAGAGUCUUGUAGAGGGGGGUAGAAUUUCAGGUGUAGCGGUGAAAUGCGUAGAGAUCUGAAGGAAUACCAGUGGCGAAGGCGGCCCCCUGGACAAAGACUGACGCUCAGAUGCGAAAGCGUGGGGAGCAAACAGGAUUAGAUACCCGAGUAGUC
rnacentral:rRNA from 1 species